rnacentral:lncRNA from 1 species
CGAUGGUCUACACUAAAUUAGUCUAAACUACAGAAUGCAUGUCUAAUAUUCGGGGUUUGUGACAUGAAUAGGGGAAUGAUUUGUGGUAUGGACCAGACAGAGUGAAGUAUUUGGGACCCUUUUCUGCUCAGACUCCUUCGUACCUGAACGGAGAAUUUCCUGGUGAUUACGGAUGGGAUACUGCAGGGUUGUCAGCUGACCCAGAGGCCUUUGCUAAGAACCGGGCUCUUGAGGUAUUUCAACACUUCAAGUACUGUUAAUUUUUCACUCCCAUUAGUGUUAAUUUUCCACUUCCCAAAUAACCCAAAUAGUUACAAAAGAUUAAGAAUGAAUGAAGCAAGACUUUAAGCAUAUUUUUCAAAAAUACAUGCAUGUUAUUGCCUUCUAUUCGCAAUUCAAAACCAAAAUGAGUGGAGACUGAUGAUGCAGUCUUUAUUCACAGUCUAACAACAUAACUUUUUUGAUAUUUGACGAGAGAUUGUUGUUGAUAACGAUUAUACUACUUUGCAUUGAUUUGGAAGUAGAGGUUUAGUAAUGUUGUGCAACUUUAGGUAAUCCAUAGCCGGUGGGCUAUGCUUGGAGCACUAGGCUGCAUCACCCCAGAAGUUCUCGAGAAAUGGGUGAGAGUGGACUUCAAAGAGCCAGUGUGGUUCAAAGCCGGAGCUCAAAUCUUCUCAGAAGGAGGCCUCGACUAUUUGGGCAACCCCAACCUAGUCCACGCUCAGAGCAUCCUAGCAGUGCUUGGGUUCCAAGUCAUCCUCAUGGGUCUCGUUGAAGGAUUCCGUAUCAACGGUCUUGAUGGCGUAGGAGAGGGCAACAACCUCUACCCCGGAGGGCAAUACUUCGACCCCCUCGGCCUUGCCGAUGACCCUGUCACCUUUGCCGAGCUCAAGGUGAAGGAAAUCAAGAAUGGGAGGCUAGCCAUGUUCUCCAUGUUUGGGUUCUUUGUCCAAGCCAUUGUGACUGGGAAGGGUCCCCUAGAGAACCUCUUGGACCACCUUGACAACCCUGUAGCUAACAAUGCAUGGGUCUAUGCCACCAAGUUUGUGCCCGGAUCAUAAAUUAAUCUUCAGUUCCUCUAAUUAGUAAUUAUUAAUCUUGUUUGGGAGAAUGUAAUUGAACAGAAAAUUUUAUG